CACAGAGGAAAGUUCUCUUGCUGGAGGUCACUCCUUGGGGACGAUAUUGUGAGCCUACAAUAUCAAGGUACUGAGGAAAGUUGACCGUCACUUUUUUCAGUAAGUGGUGUCAUAGAAGUGAAAUUCCAGUCAAUAUGGAAUUAGGACAAGGAUACUAUGGGUAGAAAAUCAAUAUCCAUAAAAAAUCUGGGUUUGUAAAGCCUCCUUUGGAAGACCUUGUGGAAGGAGUACCUGCUGACAUGUCUAUGCUCAUGCCCUCAGAGUCUGCAGAAUCCUGUGAUGUUCUUCACAUGAGGAGUCCAAACCUAUCCCCCUGGAAAAGUAAAGCUAGGUGUGCCUGUAAAUCUUAGGAGGAUUUUGGCUGAAAAUACAAUUCCAGCCAGCUCUGCAAAGUAUUUCAUCUGUAAUCUGCUGGCCUUAAUGAACGCUUUGUAUUCCAGCUGUCUCAUUCAAGCCUAACAUUCAAAAUGAGCUGUAUUAAUAAAAAAUGAACUAAAUUACUUAAUUCAGAAUUCAGAUAUUGAGCACAAUGAAAUUAAAAAAAAAAAAGAAAAACACCCAACCAAAUAUGCAGUUAACGACAUACAGCAUAUAUCUUUUCCUGCAAGCAUGAACUGCCAGGCUUCAGUGGAGCUAUUAGUGAGAGGGAGCAGCAAGUUUUAGUUAUAUUGCCAUUUCUGAGACUAUUGCAAAUUGAGGCAUCUCCACUGAAGUCAGGCACUUCAGAUCUGUAAGGUGAGACAGAGUUUUCUGCCACCUGCAUGAUUAAAACACGGCCACCCUGUGAGUAUUGAAGUCCUAAUCUAACACUGUUCUCAGCAGAGAUGCUGGCUAAUAUGACAGAUAUGGUGGUUUUUGAAAAGAAACACACAACAGCCAAUCACUAACUUGUUGACCAGGCUAAGGUGCAACCGCUGUGCAGAAGUGUAAGUAAGUUCUUCAACUAAAUGCCUCAGAAGUCUUUUUGAUUCAGUAUUUCUAAUAUAGAGAUUCCCUCUAUUGCCCAUAAAUUGGACUUUCUUGAUAUUUAAAUUGGAAAAUAAUCAUCCUUUUUUUCUAAAAUUAUGUUUGAGUUGUUUGAUAGCAAAAAUUUUAGUUAAGCUGUAAUGAAAUAAAUAUCCAUGGUACUAGAAUAAUGUAUUGAAAUAAAUUUGAUUAAAGUGCUGGAGAUAACAAACAAGAAUUGUACACUGUGCAAUAAAAAGAAUAUGAAGGUCCUUGGUAAAUUCAGAGGCAAGGGGCUAUGCGCAACAUCAGCUGGGACCAAGCCACAGCAAGCAAGCAUGCUUGUAUAUGGCAAGGCAUCUGCUUUAAACAAGAGUUUAGAAACCUUCUGAAAACUCUGUCAAGCUUGCAGCAUUCGUCAAAAGAAAAGUCCUAAACAAGAAAGUCAGCAGUCCUCCAAAUAUUCCCCAGAUUGACACCUGUAUCUGCUUCUGCAAGGGCACUGAACCAGAACAAAUAACAGCUCUUCGUAAAUAUAUAAAUGUAAUAUUUCAAAGGCUUGCCUAAAGCCAGAUGCCACUGUGAAAGUAAUACAGCUCUGCACAGAGGACCAUGGGGCCUAGAGAAUAUGCUGAAAUAUAGAGCUCAACCUAGUGAAGAGAAAGUUAAGAGGUGAUUUGAUCAUGGUCUAUAGAUAUAUACAAGGAGAGAAUAACUCUCAUGCCAGACAGAGUUUUGAUUUAACAGAAAAGCUGGAAGCUAGAUAAAGUGAAGUAAGACUAACUGGAAAUGAAAAUUUUUGCACAUUUUUCAUGCUGGUCAGGUAUUGGAAUGGAUUUUGAGGUAUGUGACAGUUUGCUCAAUUCUUGACUCUUUUAAAUCAGUUACCUCUCUUCUCUUGAGAUGUGGUGUCAUUCAAGUGCAUCUCUAUUAAGCAGAAGGUAGAACUCGUUUGGAGGAAUUUUAUGCUAUGACUUCAUGAACUUCAAACCAAGUGAUCAUAAAUGCUUCUCUCUGGCAACAACACCUAUAAAUAGAACUUCUGCCCUCGAUGAUGUCAAGAGCAAUUUUCACCCUGCUGUCUGUGGUAGGAGGGUUUUAUUUCUCAAAAGUGAGAAAUGCUCACGUUUGCAGUUUGUGUUCUUGGUUCCAAAUGGCUUAAUAUCACCUAACUACAUUUAGUGAUUUCUUAUCUAUUAAAUUAGAAAGUAACGCUGGUGGUGCUGCAACCACUACAGAAGCCUGCACACAUCACCCAUUAACACUGAUUCUUUUUAUGUGACAUUCACUCUACUCCUCUCACUCUCGUACCACGAAUGUCAAAAUAUUAGUGAAGAUUAGAGUGAUUCAUUGGGCCUUGUAUAAAUAACUUGUAAUCGUAUACAUUUAUCUCAGAACUUUUUAAUGUUACUAUUGAAAUUGAAGCAUGCGUAUUAGAUUAACUGAUUUUCUAGUAUAUUCACUUGAGACCCAGCUAAAUCUCUUGAGAUUAAAACUUUCCACUAGUUGGCUAGGUCUUGGGUUGUAUCUCACAGUUCAUUACAUUUGCAGAUCAGUGAGGUUUUAAUGUUGCUUAUUUAGAAUAAAAUAGCCCUUCAAGGCAAAAGUGAAUGCUUGAAAUAGAACAAAAUCACAGAAUCACAGAAUAGUAGGAGUUGGAUGGGACCACUAGAGAUCAUCUAGAUCUCUGGAGAUCAUCUGAUAAAGCAGAUCCUGUGGAGUAGAUUGCAGAGGAAAGUAUGAGCAAAUACUGUACUGUGAUAUAAGCACAUGGUAUAAAAAGCAAGCCUGGCAUACAGAUUACCACCAAUUUGUAUUAUUCAAAACAGAGCAGUCUGAAGAAUAUAAAUUAAGAAAUGGCUACAAAUAAAAGUUUGUAAGUAAUGAAUUGCUAUUAUAUGAAGUUAAAAGAAGAGAGUACUCAAGGAUUGACCUUUAGCAUUGAUAUUUGGGCAUCUUUUCUCAGUAAUUUCAAGAGAAUAUUUCUGGUCCAAUUAUUAACUAUAAUAAUAUUAAUGAUCCAUCAGUACAUUUUGAAUUGAAUUUUUUCAACCGACU